rnacentral:rRNA from 1 species
AUGAGGGCGCUAUUCUGGAACAUUAGGGGGUUCGGUGCUAGGGGGCGCCGUGACCAACUUAAAGAUCUGGUUCGAUCUAACUCGAUUGAUUUUAUGGGGCUGGUAGAAACUUUCAAGGAAUCCUUCUCCCCUAGUGAACUGUCGGCUAUUGUGGGUAUGGACAAAUUCUACUGGAACUUUUUACCUGCUGUGGGGCACUCGGGCGGGUUUUUGAUAGGGGCCAACAAAGAUAUUUUUGAUUUUGUUGCUUUUGAUCAUGGGAUAUUUUGGGCCAGCGUUGUUCUCUCCCUUAAAGCUCAGAACACUCUUUGUGAGUUUAUCGUCGUCUAUGGCCCUGCGGAUCACUCCCUGUCUCCUUUAUUCCUUAACGAGCUGUCGCUGAAGAUCGAUGCCUGUACCUUACCGAUGGUUAUCGGGGGAGACUUUAAUCUGCUA